GGCCUGAUGGUCUAGUAGUAUGAUUCCUUGUUAGGGCUCCAUUCCCAAUAUCGAGGAGGUCCCGGGUUCAAUUCCCGGUCAGGCCC